rnacentral:rRNA from 1 species
UGGGGAAUCUUGCGCAAUGGGCGAAAGCCUGACGCAUCGACGCCGCGUGCGGGAAGAAGGCCUUCGGGUUGUAAACCGCUUUCAGGAGGGACGAAGCCACUCGGGUUAAUAGCCCAGAGGGUGACGGUACCUCCAGAAGAAGCCCCGGCUAACUACGUGCCAGCAGCCGCGGUAAUACGUAGGGGGCAAGCGUUGUCCGGAUUUAUUGGGCGUAAAGCGCGUGUAGGCGGCCAGGUAAGUCGGCUGUGAAAACUCGAGGCUCAACCUCGAGAUGUCGUCCGAAACUAUCUGGCUAGAGUCCGGAAGAGGAGAAUGGAAUUCCCGGUGUAGCGGUGAAAUGCGCAGAUAUCGGGAAGAACACCCGUGGCGAAGGCGGUUCUCUGGGACGGUACUGACGCUGAGACGCGAAAGCGUGGGGAGCGAACAGG